GAUGUUAUAUAUGAACCGCUUACAGCCCUCAACGCAAUGGUACAAAAUAACCGCAUAGAGCUUCUCAAUCAUCCUGUGUGUAAAGAAUAUUUACUCAUGAAAUGGUUGGCUUAUGGAUUUAGAGCUCAUAUGAUGAAUUUAGGAUCUUACUGUCUUGGUCUCAUACCUAUGACCAUUCUCGUUGUCAAUAUAAAACCAGGAAUGGCUUUCAACUCAACUGGCAUCAUCAAUGAAACUAGUGAUCAUUCAGAAAUACUAGAUACCACGGUAAUUUCAAAUUUUAACUUUCUAAAAUAAAGGAUUAUAAAAAAUGUAUUUUUUCUUAAGACUACUAAACCCAUAAUAAAUCUGACAUAUCAGGACUUU
rnacentral:lncRNA from 1 species